GUUUAACCCUCAGAGUUACUAUCUUUCCAGACUAACCUGGGAAACAAAGUACCAUUUGCUUCCUUUCCAGAAAAGCCAGACUGAACGGCAGGGAGACCCUGGCCCUCUGGGAGCAAAUGCAGAGGCCACUCUAAAGGCCUCUUCACUUCAUUGGUCAGGAAGCUGAAGAGAGGAGAGUUCAGAGACUUCUCCAAGUUACACCAAAGUGCAAAGCAGCCUAGGGAAGAGAAAUCAGGUCUCUGAAGUCCAAUGUUCCUGGUCCCAUUCAAGCUGAUGUAGUAAGUACUAUAGUUAGAAGGUCCUUGGAAAGAGUCAUUCAAUAAUUUGCAUACAAUUUACAUACACCCACAGAAGUCUUUAGUCUAUUCUUAGGCAAUUUUCCAAGAUAGAAACAUUAUUUUUGCUCCUCCUAGAGGCAAUAUCUCUAGAUCUCCCCUCCCCCAUAU
rnacentral:lncRNA from 1 species